rnacentral:rRNA from 1 species
CCGUCCUACGGGGGGCAGCAGUGGGGGAUAUUGCACAAUGGGGGAAACCCUGAUGCAGCGACACCGCGUGGGUGAAGAAGCGCUUCGGCGUGUAAAGCCCUAUCAGUGGGGAAGAAAAAUGACGGUACCUGACUAAGAAGCCCCGGCUAACUACGUGCCAGCAGCCGCGGUAAUACGUAGGGGGCAAGCGUUAUCCGGAUUUACUGGGUGUAAAGGGAGCGUAGACGGUCCUGCAAGCCAGAUGUGAAAGCCCGGGGCUCAACCCCGGGACUGCAUUUGGAACUGUAAGGCUAGAGUGUCGGAGG